UGGGGGGGGGGGUUGUUUUUGUGCCUUAAUAAUUUAAAUUGUCAUUUGAAAACCAAAUUUAGUAUUGCCUUGGGAUGCCUCUGUUUGAUAUUAAAAUCGGUUUGUUGAACUGUAACUCGUGUGUGAUAAAUAUUCCAAGAACGCAGUCAACAGGACGGGGGCAAAUAUUUUCACACGGCACUGUAUAAAAGAAUAAAUUUGACUAAAGUGAUCAUCAAUUGGAAGAAGCUUCAACUGACAAGUCGACAACAGUCUGCUGUGGUGAACACGACAAUGAAGUGGUUGAUCUUGGCUUUCUGCGUCGCCGUGCUGGUCAUAGCUGGUGAAGCUGUGAAAUGCCAAUCCUGUAUACCAUGGUUGAUGCCAUAUUGUAUUCCUCAAACGGUCGAGUGCGCCCCCGGCCAAGUCUGCGGUAAAUCCCAAUGGGAUGGGUGCACAUCGCCGUGACAGUGACAGCGGACAAGCCCUCAACUUCAAGUGCUCCAGAAUGGACCACAGCGACCAUCCUUUUAUAAAAGUAUAAAAAAAAAAAAAAAAAAAGUAUCCCUGUAGUUUAGUUGGAAAGCAUUAAAAAAUGUCAUAAAAAAAUGGAGUUUUUUUUUUUCUUGCAUUCUGUGUGAUUGUGAAAUUCUUGUGUUGAAAGUAACCCGCUUUGGGUGCUUGCCAUGGAUACCCUGGACAAAACAAACAAACAAAAACCCUACUAUCCUGUUGGGCCAAUGGCUCAAGUGGCUUCUGAGCACGCAAAACCACAACAAAACAACAUUUUUAAUCAUGGGGGCAGCACUCAAUGCAGUCGACUGUACCGUGUGUGAAUGUGGCGCGUGGACACAACAAACACGCAUACCAUACCACCAGCUUCAACACCGUCCUCCUGGUGCCUCGCGCUCAGCAAAGCUUCUUUCAAAGUGUUCAUCUCCAUUUGGGGAAUGACAGAAACAUUUCUGUAUUCGUGUUGUUUUGGUUUUUUUGAACACCUGUUUGGAAUACUCCACAGGUGAAGAGGUUCAUUGGAAACGGGUGAGUGUCAUGACUGGGGAUAAAAGCAACAUCAGUGAAGGCUCGAGUUUCACAAGCAAGCAUGGGAUGGGAUUCACCGCUUUGUGAAGAGUUUUAGAAUGUUUCUCAACAGAAACCGCAAGAAAUUUAGGGAUCUUACUGGACCCUUGUUAGGAUAAAGAGAAUCCAAAAAAUGGAUGGAAUUAGAUCACAGUAUUGCGCAAUCAAUGAGUUGUGCAUCAUGUAAAAAACACAAGAUUAAAAAUGAUGGUCAUUUCACUUUUAAGUGCACCCUCAUCGUUGUUUGCCCUCUUUAGCUCAUGUUCCGUCUUAGAAGAGGUUUUUGGCUGCCGUUUUGGCAAGAACUGAUCCAAGUACGUUUACAUUUGUCGGCUUUUAACAUUCCUUCGAAAAUGUCUAAGGCAAACAUCGGCAGAGUGAGCGAUCGCCCGACUGCUGAACAUUUUUUCUGGGUGAUUCACAUUUACGUAAAAUGAUCGGAACGACUCACGGCCCAAGGGGCGAAUGACGAGUACUCUGCACAGACACAUCUCUAUUUAUCGAAACACAUAGACACAUACGGUAGAUCUCCCUCUGAGCCAAUGGGAUACCAGGAAGACGCUCGGUAAUAGCCAAUGGCAGAGCAGCUACAAGUAUGUUGCGUUCAUGAAACUCGAAGCUGCGAGGAGCAGACCCGACUGUAUUUUUACCUUUCUUGACAUUUCUUUUGUAACAAAAGGCAAUAUUUUCCUCUUGAGGCGUUUUGUAACUUGACAAUUUCAUAUGAAGAGACGUUGGUAAGUAGAGGUACCGCUGUACUGGGGAAGAACUAACAGUCUGCGCAGAACCCCCGAAGUCCCAGGACUAAAAUCCCCUCACUGAACCGCGAGUGUUUACGUAUGUUGCAAAUGUUGGCUUUUCGUCAGUGUUCCGAGAAGGCUGUGUGGUAUAUGGUUUUUGCUGCUUCCCUGGUCUUCAAAAAACACUCGGUGAUCGGUGGCUGUUUCCCGACGAAUGAGCACUUCAGGGACCACGGCUGAUUGGGAAAAGAUUUUAUUCUACCAAUGUCAGAGUGAAGUCUUUCCAAAAAGUUGAGUGGCCCAAGGCAUGGAUGUAAAAAAGCCCCCCUACCCCUGUCAGGCCUGUAUCUUUUAUACCUGGCAAGGAGCUGAUGUCAUGGCUUUGUGCACCAGCUGCGGUUUUCAAUCUACUAGUUUACUUCAGUCCUAAAAAGGAGAUCUUGACCAGCGCUGUUGGUGAUGGACGACAACAGCCACUUUACCUUAUUAUAGGAUUGCACACAUUGCUGAAACUGAAUUCUCCCUGACCAGCAAAUAUAGAAUAGAAUCGUGUCACUGACGCCAGGUGGACAUUCAAAGGCCACCUACAGGAAUAGAG